AAACUUUCAACAACGGAUCUCUUGGUUCUGGCAUCGAUGAAGAACGCAGCGAAAUGCGAUAAGUAAUGUGAAUUGCAGAAUUCCGCGAAUCAUCGAAUCUUUGAACGCACAUUGCGCCCCUCGGUAUUCCGGGGGGCAUGCUUGUUCGAGCGUCAUUA
rnacentral:rRNA from 1 species